UCGAGAAUCUUCGGCAAUGGGCGCAAGCCUGACCGAGCGACGCCGCGUGCGGGAUGAAGGCCUUCGGGUUGUAAACCGCUGUCAGGAGGGAGGAAAUGCAUGGGGGCACUCUCCCAUGUUUGACCGAUCUCCAAAGGAAGUGCGGGCUAAGUACGUGCCAGCAGCCGCGGUAAUACGUACCGCACGAACGUUAUUCGGAAUCACUGGGCUUAAAGGGUACGUAGGCGGCCUGGCAGGUGGGGUGUGAAAGCCCUCGGCUUAACCGAGGAACUGCGCUCCAAACCGCCAGGCUCGAGGAAGGCAGAGGUGAGCGGAACUGAUGGUGGAGCGGUGAAAUGCGUUGAUAUCAUCAGGAACACCAGUGGCGAAGGCGGCUCACUGGGCCUUUUCUGACGCUGAGGUACGAAAGCUAGGGGAGCGAACGGGAUUAGAUACCCGCGUAGUCC
rnacentral:rRNA from 1 species